AACGAACGCUGGCGGCAGGCUUAACACAUGCAAGUCGAACGAACGUAGCAAUACGUUAGUGGCAGACGGGUGAGUAACGCGUGGGAAUAUGCCCUAUGGUUUGGAAUAACUCAGGGAAACUUGAGCUAAUACCGGAUAAGCCCGAGAGGGGAAAGAUUUAUCGCCAUUGGAGUAGCCCGCGUCUGAUUAGCUAGUUGGUGAGGUAAUGGCUCACCAAGGCGACGAUCAGUAGCUGGUCUGAGAGGAUGAUCAGCCACACUGGGACUGAGACACGGCCCAGACUCCUACGGGAGGCAGCAGUGGGGAAUAUUGGACAAUGGGGGCAACCCUGAUCCAGCCAUGCCGCGUGAGUGAUGAAGGCCUUAGGGUUGUAAAACUCUUUUAUCCGGGAAGAUAAUGACUGUACCGGAAGAAUAAGCCCCGGCUAACUUCGUGCCAGCCGCCGCCGUAAUAC
rnacentral:rRNA from 1 species